GUCCUAUCAAGGGGUAGCGGCGGGUGUUAGAGGGGCAAGGGGUAAGAUAGGAGGAGUCGGCCGCGAGGGAACCGUCCGGCGGGGGAGGGGAAGCAGUGGUGGCGGCCACGAGGACCAGUCCGGCAGGGAGGGGAAGGAGUGAUCGCGACUGCGACGGACCGUCCGGCGGGGAGGGUAAACUUAGUCCAGCGCCUUCACCGGCUACACCGGGAGCUCGAGCCGUACGAGCGCGGUCGCGAACUGCGGCAACCUACGCCUGCGCCUCCGCGCCCUGAGCGUCCGGGAUGAGAUGGGGCGAGGAAGCUUAGACGGGGUCUUCACGAGCUCCUCCGCGAGCUCGAGCCGUACGAGCGGCUUCUGCGGCCCGGGAGGUAGGAGGACUACGGGAGCGGCAGCGGCGGUACUUGUAGAGGUGGUAGAGGCCGCGUUAGCAGGCCCAGGUCUAAAGGGUUUCCUCUUCCUCCUCCACGGCUUUCUCCUACCCUCGUUGUUCAGACUUAGCUUCUUUAGUUAAAAGAAGUGGGGUGCCCUCUUCAAUCUUCUACAUAAGAACCCUCAAGGGUCGCUGAAACUACAUACAACCUUGUCUUCGUGUGAAAAUUCCAGUUCUAGGGGUGUUCUAGUUUUACCAUCUUCCAGACCGCACGACCGCGACGAAAACUCGCACCGUGUCUACCCGACCUAGGAGCCGGUGUAGCGGGAGUAGCAGACGCGGAUGUAGUGGAUGAUGUGGGGCAGGAGGAGAGGAUGACGAUGGCGACCGGCCUUGGGCAGGUGCGUUUGCCUUGAUGUGAACAUGUACCUGCGGCAGGCGAGGACAGAACCCGGAUCUCUACAUCGAUAUAUACACACCGUAACGUGUCAUGUUCUAAGAGAUACGUAGUGUCAACGGUGCCCGUAGUACAGGCACCACGGGUCGUUGACGGCGGUAAUUUUCCCGGUGCUGCGUUUGACGUCGGUCUACCCUGCUACACGGACCACGACACGCCGGAGCGGUUCCAGUAGGAGAGCGUCAACGACCCGGACCUCUAGACAAUGGAAGCAGAGGUAUUAGCGGCGGCAGUACAGGAAGUGGAUGAGGAAGUAGCGGGAGAAGGCCCCACGGCGCUGGACGCGCAUUCCUCUCCGGUCACCUCGGCACGCAACCAGCCGCCGGUUUGCUUCCUCGCCGUCCGCCACUGGAUACACAUUCCUCUCCGGCCGGUCGUCUCCGCCCACGCCUCCGGUUGCGCCUAGCCACCGCUGCUGCCCGGCGACAGAAAAAAAAAAACGCUUUCUGCCCGGCGGCAGACUGGGAGGCGGUGGCGGCGGAGAGCGGAACGGAGAAAAGCAGCAGCCGAACAGCGGUGCCCGCGCGUCUCCGUCCGCCGUACCCAGCGCCCCAUCAACAAAACUCGCUCGUGCUCGUUGCGUCGAGUGUUUAAUUCCCCAAAACUAACGCUAGUCAAAGGAUAAGAGUACGGACUAACGCCUGCACCCUACCCGCCCCGGUCGCCUUUAACGAUUCGCGUGUCAACCGAUUGGUAUCCCAUUAAACCUACCGAUCUACUUUAAUUCACUAAAACUAGCACUCCGACAUUAACCAGUUUCUAUAACACACAUCCAGACCAAUCCACGCCAAUCGCUACUUAUACAAACGAACAAAUUAUGAUCAUCAUCUUUUCUCCUGUGAGCUUCUUAGCUCUAUGGUGGCUAGUUGAUUUACGCACAGUUGUGCACCAGGUAGUCCCGUUGUACGUUGUUGGCUAGUGCUUGAUAGCGUUAAGUCAGCUCAAAAAAAGGAUUCGUCGGCGCAUAUACGUACAGUGGUGGCGUACGUUUGACGGUACGUCUUUUGUCUGUCUGACAAGUUAUGAGUGCACCAGUUGGUACGUUUUUCUUAUAGAAUAAGGUAUGCUUUAGCGAUCGGUGUGGGUUUCUUGACGUGUGCGGACACAGGGGGUCAUUAACCGCACCGUAGGAGAGUAACCAGACGAAAAAA
rnacentral:rRNA from 1 species